rnacentral:lncRNA from 1 species
GUUUAAGGGACUAAAUAUGCAUGUUUUGGCUCUAAUGCUAAUUACUAAGACUAAUUUUAGAAUGUGUUUAGAUUGAUAGAAAGAAUUAAAACGAAAGGGAUAGGAAAAAUAAGUAGUAUUGUAUGUGUAUCCUAUUGUGAUUGACAAAUAAAGUAGAACAUGAUAGAAUACACUCUUUCUUUUUUCUUUUUUAAAUUAAAAAGCUUCCUUCUUGUAAACCAGUUCUAAUUUUCUGCUAUUGUUAGGGUACUAUCAAAAUUGGUUUGGUACCAUACUCGCUGCUUUCAUGGAAACUACCUCGACCUCGUGAACUUUUCCAUCAUUGUUCAUCCACAUUAGUCUGUAAUAAAUGAAAUAAGCCAACCAAAAAUGGAUUGGCACCCCGAAGCCUUAGUAAUACUAGACAGGAUUGUUUAGGUGUUGCAAUAAUUUGAUAGUUUUUUGCAUAUUACUUUUUAUGCAGACGAUGCUUCACUGAUAAAGUUCUUCGCAUAAUAUUGUAGUUCUUUGCAUCGUUUGUACGGUAAUAUGAAAAGCAUUAUAUUUUAGUUCCUAAAAAUUUAAUGGUUAUUUUCCUUGCAUAUUGAUAAAGUUAUCUGCAUAAGAAAUGUUCAAAAAGAAGAAGAGUAGACGAAAACAAAUCCCCUUUGCAAGAUAUGAUAAUAAAAUUAACCCAAGAAAGAGUCUGAGCUCAUUGAUUGAACUACCAUGCAUUUUACUAUUCUGCCCUAAUGUUUGAAUCUUGUGUCCUCGAUAUGAGAAUUUUAAGAAGUUCUGGACAUCUUUUAUAAUACAUAAAUAAUUUCUAUUCACUUUACCCAUUCAAACACUAAAUAAAUAAAAAAGUUUAGUUGUUUGAAAACCAGUGGUUUUAUUCUUGGUUGUUUUUAAAAUUUGAGAUUAUAUAUUGUCAUUUUCUUUUACUUUUGUAUUGCAGUGUCACAUGACUGCCUCUCCAGUCUCCAGCACUCAAGUCACAAAUUCAUUUGCACUCAAACUUAUCUACAGUUAUUAGUUUAACAAAUAAGGGUGAUACAAAAGUUUUUGUUCUUUCUUAGACUCCGUUGAUCGGGUGGUAGGUUAUUAAUUGACAUAUUUCCUCCUUUAAAGGCAACUAGAUGUGACAUGAUUUAUGGUAUACAUUCAUUCCUAUUCGAUUAUUUUAUGACCCUUAUUCAUUUUGCUGAUUAUGAUAAUUGAAAAGGUUAGAAUUUGAGUAUCAAAAUCUGCAUUUAUGAUUACUACCUGGU